GUGCUUGCUUCAGCAGCACAUACACUAAAUUUGGAACAAUACGGAGAAGGUUAGUGUGGCCCCUGCUCCAGGAUGACACCCAAGUUCGUGGCGCGUUCCACGUUUUG